GGUUAAAUCUCUGCUCAUAUUCGAUAUCGAGGGAGUAGGCUAAAUGUUGGCAGAAAUGUCAAAUAACGAGCAGGAGAAACUCCACUACUAGAGCUACUGCAGAAAAACCAAAGGUUGUGUCUCCAGGAGCUGAGGGAUGAGCAGACGUCAGGAGAAAGAGGAGCGACAACGGAAGAGGCACAAUGAAAGAAACAGAGGGACCCAAACGUCAGCACUGACAUAUCCUUCACAACAUCUGGAUAUUUAAAGAUUGAUCAGAGUUCACGCUGGAGAGAAGCUGUACAGCUGUGAUGAAUGUGGGGCAGCUUUCACUCCGAGUGGUCACCUAGAAGACACAGACGUGUCGGAAUCAUAAAAUUAAAACUUGACUCUUUUCUCGAUGUCAUUUUCCAAAGUUUUUGUUGCUAUUUUGUAUUUAUUUAUUUAUUUUUUACUCUUUUGAAGCAUUAAGACA